rnacentral:rRNA from 1 species
AUUCCUACGGGGCGCAGCAGUGGGGAAUAUUGCACAAUGGGCGAAAGCCUGAUGCAGCAACGCCGCGUGAAGGAAGAAGGCCCUCGGGUUGUAAACUUCUUUUAUCAGGGACGAAACAAAUGACGGUACUUGAUGAAUAAGCCACGGCUAACUACGUGCCAGCAGCCGCGGUAAUACGUAGGUGGCAAGCGCUAUCCGGAUUUACUGGGUGUAAAGGGCGUGUAGGCGGGACUGCAAGUCAGAUGUGAAAACCAUGGGCUCAACCCAUGGCCUGCAUUUGAAACUGUAGUUCUUGAGUGUUGGAG